rnacentral:tRNA from 1 species
GGGCCAGUAGUUUAGUGGUAGAACGCCUCAUUUGCAAUGAGGAGAUCGCGGGUUCGAUUCCCGCCUGGUCCA